CUGGCGGUAGGCCUAACACAUGCAAGUCGAACGGCCGCACAGUAAGAGCUUGCUCUUACGGGUGGCGAGUGGCGGACGGGUGAGGAAUACAUCGGAAUCUACUUUUUCGUGGGGGAUAACGUAGGGAAACUUACGCUAAUACCGCAUACGACCUACGGGUGAAAGCAGGGGAUCUUCGGACCUUGCGCGAUUGAAUGAGCCGAUGUCGGAUUAGCUAGUUGGCGGGGUAAAGGCCCACCAAGGCGACGAUCCGUAGCUGGUCUGAGAGGAUGAUCAGCCACACUGGAACUGAGACACGGUCCAGACUCCUACGGGAGGCAGCAGUGGGGAAUAUUGGACAAUGGGCGCAAGCCUGAUCCAGCCAUACCGCGUGGGUGAAGAAGGCCUUCGGGUUGUAAAGCCCUUUUGUUGGGAAAGAAAAGCAGCAGGUUAAUACCCCGCUGUUCUGACGGUACCCAAAGAAUAAGCACCGGCUAACUUCGUG
rnacentral:rRNA from 1 species